AAUAAUAUGUAUAAUUUUUAUUAUUAGGGUGAAGUAUCUCAUUCAGGAGGAAACUGUUGUCAUUCACCAUUUUAUGAGGGUAAAACAACAUUUGGCGGAGCAUCUGCUAUGAACAGAUCACAUAUAUUAUCAUCAAUAUCAUGUCCUGACACAAAUGCCUCAAAUACUAAAUUGAAAGUGAACGAUGCUUCGUCAAAAAAAGAUUUUGACUACAUGAGUACAACGGCUAAACGAAUUUUAUUAUCUUUAGAAAAGAUGUCCACUCCUUUAGUGGAUGCAAAGAAGAUUCCAACA